AUAACUUGGUCGUUUUAAGCCGGAAUUAGCUCAUUUUUGGACACGAGCUACAUAUUACCAUAUAUUUUCAUUUCCCAAAAGCCUGUAAUUUUUCUCAUUAACUAAAUGUCCAAAACAGCCCUCGGAAAAUUUUGGCCAGAAACUUUUUGCACUUUGGCAGUUUUGGAGUCCUUCACCAAAACUUAAAUAAAACGAAAUCUGUAACUCCGAUUAAUGAUCCGUCAAUUUUGUUGGAUUCGUAUCUUUCCGAACUACAGUUUUCAUAUAUCACAAUCCAUAUUUGGAUAUGUUUAGCUCCCGGAAUUUAUCCCGGAAGUGCCUGUUCCAAAACUAUCCUUUUCACAGUUUUCUUAACUUUGUGUAGUUUGGGAGAAAUCCCAUAACUCCCUCCUCUGAUGUCGGAUUUAGUCCGUUUCGGAGUCUAUGGAAAGCUUAUUGAGUGUACUAUAACAUAUCACAAGUCCAGAAUUUUUAGAGCACUCUAACAAAUCCGAAAUUUUCUGUUUUAGGGCAGCAGUCCACUAACUCAUUUAAAACAAAAAAAACUGUUUUGGUUAUUCUUCUUUGUUCAAGCCUAUCAAC
rnacentral:lncRNA from 1 species